rnacentral:lncRNA from 1 species
GGAAACCUAACUGUUAACUGAGGCAAUGACAGUAGGGAUGGAAUGAGAAGUAUGUCUUAGAGAUAGAUAAUGGAAACUAAGAGACAGUGGAACCUAGGGUUCUGAUUUUAGGUGACAGAGUAAAUGGUGAUACCAUUCCCUGUAAAAGUUGAGGGCCUUUGGAAGGUAGGGGAAAUUGCUAUUUGAUUGGAAGCAUGCGAGCCAGCUAUAAGGCUUAAGAUUUGUGCAACCUUGUGAAGAGGUGAAAUCACCCAGGAGCAUGGAGGACCAAAUCUUGGUGAAGACCAAUAAUGUGCCAUCAGAAAUAGAAAAACUGAAGAAUGGUAUUCUCAAAUUGAGGAAGGAGUUUUAAGAAAGAAAAAAAGACACCAUAUAUGCCAGAGAUGUAAGUAAAAUCAGGUCUGAGAGACAACCUUUGAAUUUGGCAAUGAGAAGGUUCCUGGUAACCUGAGCUAGCUAAAGCAGUUGAGCAGAGUAGUGAGAUUGAAAUGCAGCCAGAGGCAGGGUGAGGAACAGAUAGAUGAGAGGUGAGAAAGUGAUGAUGAAUAGAGAUCAUAGACCACUCUUUUCAAGAAAUUAAGCUUUGAAGAAUAAAAGAGGUAAAAAAGAGGUAGUCUUAAGAUGGAAGAUAAAUAGGCCUAUGCUUACAAAGUUAUAGAAUAGGUGGGGUUUGAUUUCAUUUAGGGGACAAACAAGUCUGUGUUUGCAUAUUUACAGAGUAUACAAAAAGAUUGGGCAAGAUGCACUUCAGACUUGAUGCUUCUAGGAGUGAGGUGGAAUAGAGGGGCUGACUUCACUCAAAACCUUUCUGUUUAAGCAUUUUUGCUUGUUUGUUUUUAUUUUCUGAUGGUCACUGAGGAAAAUGGAAGCUGGAGCUGACUAGAGAACCAUCAAAGGAUUACUGGGUGUUUAAUGCACAAGUGAGGUACUGUUAAUUUUAAAUGGUACCAAUUUAUUGUGUGAUUUUUUUUUUCUCCAGGGGUGUUUAGCAACAAAGCUAUCAGGGUAUAGAAGCAGAAAAGGUUAAAAAAAAAUAAAAGUCUGAGUUGAAGACCUGGUUAUGAGAGAGAGACUGGUGGAUUUCAUUUCAUUUACCCUUUCUUGAUUAUUUUGUACCCAUCUAGUGUUGGACAAGUAAAUGUGAGAGUAUGAGAAAUCAUAAAAUAUAAAACAGUGUACUUUGAAGGUACAGAGAGGGACAUCUAACACCAACCCUGGAGCUAAGGGAGAUCUUCCCAGAGAUAACUAGUAGUUAGCUGGACAAAGAAGGCAUCGGGAUUGGGAAUGGAUAACAUUCCAUCAGAGAAAAUAGGAUGUGCAAAGAGCAUGUGACUAUAAAUAGGGGCGGCUAGAGUAUGGUGCACAUGGAAGAAACUGGUAAGAACCAAAACUAGAAUUAGGAUGCAGA